rnacentral:lncRNA from 1 species
ACUUGUGGCAUAUGGAAGUUUCCAGGCCAGGGGUUGAAUCGGAGCUAUAGCUAUAGCCUAUACCACAGCCACAGCAACACCAGAUCUGACCCAUAUCUGCAACCUGCUCUAGAGCUUAAGGCAAUGCUAUAUCCUUAACCCGCUGAGCAAGGCCAGGGACCAAACCUACAUCCUCACAGAGCCAACAUCAGGUCCUUGAACCCACUGAGCCACAAUAGGAUAGUUUUACUUUCUAAUGCCUCAUAAGAUUUUGGGGACUUAAACAAAAUUAAACAUAAAGUUUGCAUACAGAUUUGGAAUUUCUUACGACUUUAAAUAAAUAUGUUGUUUUUCCCACCUAAGAAAAAUUUUUUAUAAACUUUAGUUUUUCCCUACCAUUUUACAAAUAGACUCACUCAUGUAGACCUGGGCUGAAUAUACAUUUUAGUUUGCAUAGGAUGAAUUACAUCUGCUGAUUUGGUAGAAUCAUUCAUCACACCCCCUUUGACUCUUAAAACUGCCUUUAUUUAAAUUAUAAACUAUUUUCUCACUCAUAAGGAGUUUUUUUGAACACCCCUUUGUUUAUGUUUUACCCAGGAUCCCCUAUGUUCUCUCAUGCCUUUCCAUCUGCUUGCAGUAUAAGAAUCAGGAUCCAGGGUAAAAUCUAACACAGAAAAUAUCUGCAAUGCAAUAGAAAAUUCUGGUUAGCCCCUCACAAAUGGCAUACAAAAUACCAAGAAACCCAUUCCUGAUCCAUCCAGUGGCAAACACAAGUGUGUGGUCACCCACUCUACAUCUAUUCUACUCUACCUGUUAAUUGAUUUUGAUUUGGCUCAGGCAGUGGGUAACACUGUGCCUAGGAAGGUGGGAACAGUCCAGGAGAUACAUCAUGACAAAGCUCUACUAAUCAUGGAAAUCCUACUUUCCCUUGCUGGUGGUUGACUCAGGGGUGACCACCCAGGCCCAAUUUUGACCAAUCAGAUGUAAGGGAAGCUCUGCUGGGGGUUGGGUGGGGAGACUUUUGGGAAAAGUUUUCUUCCCUGGUUAAAAAGUAAGACACAAGAGAAAAUCCAUUUUCCCUUUGAAUAUCAGUGGGUGAAGAUAUCUGUAGCCACAACAAUCAUCUUGUCUCACAAGUGGUCAGGACUCCCAGUUACUUGCUGCCCAAAGCUCUCUGAGGUCAAUGAGACCCUGCUGUAUAGCACAGGGAACUAUAUCUAAUCACUUGUGAUGGAACAUGAUGGAAGAUAAUGUGAGAAAAAGUAAAGUUAUAUAGGUAUAACUGGGUCACUUUGCUGUACAGCAGAAACUGACUAAACAUUGUAAAUCAACUAAAAUGAAAAUUUUUAAAAAAGAAAAAGGAUCUACAUUAGCUAGACUCAGCAACAUUACAGGGAAUGUGUGGUGAGGUGAGAAUAUGUGGGAAGAAAAGAGGCAUACCCGGAACCUAAGUGAUGCCAUGGGCUUCUUUCCCAGGAAACUAUCCAAUGAGGAAAAAAAAUACCUUAUUGCCAAGAGAUGAUGCAUAUAUCUAUAUAUCUACUAAUUAGAGAAGAAAAUGCAAUGAGGCUACAAACAAAAAGGAACUGCAAAGUAAACAGUUUUUUUUAAAAAAACAUAUGAAUACUGCGUGUGCUUUCUAGGGGGUGGGGGUAAAGUUUAAAAUGGGGGAGUAUGUUUUCACACAGAAAAUCAGUUUAAUUGAGAUUUUUUUUUUUUUUGGCUUUUGUCUUUUUAGUGCCACACCUAUGGCAUAUGGAGGUUCCCAGCCUAGGAGUCAAAUUGGAGCUACAGUUGCUGACCUACACCACAACCACAGCCACAGCAACUUGGGAUCUGAGCCGAAUCUCUGACCCACACCACAGCUAAUGGAAACAUCAGAUCCUUAAGCCACUGAACAAGGCCAGGGAUUGAACCCGUGACCUCAUGGAUCCUAGUUGGGUUCUUUAACCACUGAGCCACAAUGGGAACUCCUGAGAUAGUUUUUGUACUGUAAAUCUGGGCCCUGCUAAGACAGAGUGCAUCCAGAGAAGGAUGAUUGGGAUGUUUUAAUUCCGAAAUAAUAAAGCAUUUUAAAUGCAGAUAAAGCGAGCAUCAUGGGCCAUCCUCUUUCCAGGUGACUUUGUCAAGGCCUCAUUACUCCAGGUUGCUCUGCAAUGUGGGUUUAGAUAGCAGCCCAGAGGAGUUCCCAAAGAUAGGAGGCAUUAACAAGUGCUUUGCAGAGGGAUCCCUUUCUGAUAGGCCACGGCAGGAGAGUAAUAUAACCUCCACCAACCUGCUAAGCCCUUGGUAAGAACCUGUACGUGUCUCCUUUAUUUGAUCUUUAGGACAGGCUUUGCAGCCAACUGUUGGGAUGUUGUACAGCAUUUCUGACAUGGAGCACAAACUGUGAGCCCGCCCUGCACUAGCACCAUGAUAUUCACUGCAUUGAGUAGCAGGGAGCCACUGCAUUAACAUGACAUAUAUACGCAAGGUUCCCCUUCUACAGUGUUAAGGGAUAUGCUGAAAUAAAUGAUAAGGGGGUUAUUCAUUCUCAGCACAUCCAUUGAAGGCAAUGAGGAAAAUAAGAGGAGGGAGAAAUAUACCAGAGUCACAGAUUCUAGUUAGGAAGUAAUAUCUGGUCACUAUUUUCAGCCACAGAUUACUCAUUCAGUGAUGUUUUCCCCUCUUGCUCUGGAUGCAUCAAUUCAGCCUACAGAGUCAGAAACCCUCUCCUAAAGCUCUCAGUAAAUGCACUCCCUAGUUUUUGCUGGAUGAUGCUUUAUGAUGCACACCAAGAUACUCAGUUGGCACGCCUACCUUUGGGAAGCAGGCAGAAAAUGACUAUUUCUCUUCCUUUUACCAAGCUACACAGAGCCAGGGCUUUUUUAGAUAUUGGCAGCAGCAAAACUCCCAGGGUUACAGCAAACAUGACAAAACUGUGGUGCAGGAGGAAAUCUGCUUCCAGUGCUUUCUCUUCUCCUGCUCUCCAGCCUCAGGCUACACUCUGUUUUGGCAAGACUUUGAUCUCAGCUUAGCCCAUCUCAGGCAUCAACUGAUGAUGAUUUCAGGGGCUAAUGUGGAGGACUGGAAGUUGAAGUCUAUAAGCCUUUAAAAAGCCAAGGAAUGAGUCCAUAGUGAAGAAAUUCCAAGCAUCAAGACAGAGGGUAGGAAAGGACAUUUUGACCAGGGAGCCACACUGGCUGAACACCUAGAGGCUGCUUUAAAGUUGAGUUUAUCAUUACUAUACAUCAAAAUUAUCUCAAAAGCUAAAUUUCCCAGAAGCACACUGACUUAUUCUCAAACUGGACUUCUCGUGGAAGAACAGGGUCAACAUAAGAGAUCAAGACUUACCAGGAAAGGAUUUAAAUAUGCCAGUUAUGGAAAACCACACAGAACACUGCAUAAAAUGUUCAAGCACCAAAGGGGACUCAAUACCUCUUGGAGGGGGAAGAUGUGGGUAGAAGCAAUGGCAGCAUCAGGAGUCCAGAGCAGGCAGGAAGGAUGCAGAAAGAUUCAUAAGGAAGAUUUGGGACUAGUAUUUUUAUUUUUCAUAUAAUAUCUCAGUCUUCACACAAAGUAUUGCAUGAUUCUACAGGUAAGGAGAUAUGGCUCAGAGGAGUUAACAAAUAUCUGAAGUUAUAAGCAGUGAAACCAGUAAGAGAUAAAAGGAAAACCAUUCCUUAUGUGCUGAAUGACACAGUUUAUGAUGGCUCUUUCUUGCAUGAUGAAGCAUAGAUUUUCCAGAGAAAGAGAGAGAGAGAAAGGAAGAACUUAAGAAAGAAAUAGAAAAAGAGACAGAAAUAAAUCAACCACCUGGGAAUAGUGCAACUGGGAGAGUUGGUAAGAAAAUAUGAAAAAUUUCUAGAAUCUAAAAUCCAGAACAGGUAGUGACUUUUGCUUGUCUAAAUUCAUACAAUUUUUACAACAACGUUUUCAUAUACAGGUUUCCAGUUAUUAUUUCCAUAUUCCAAAGCAAUAAAUAAGAAAAUAUUUUUCCCAGGACAUUGGAGGGAAGGUACUAAACUAUCACUCCAAUAAAGGCAAAAAACAACUCCUUGAAAUCCAGAGUGCAGACAAAAAAAUAAUAAAAAUAAAAAUUUGCAGCAGUUUCCUUUGGAGCUGUCUAGGUAAUUGAGGAGAAGAAACAUACUGAGAUUAUCAGUAUGAAGACGUAUUUUUCCACAAAUUUGGCUAGUAUUUUCUAGACAUUCUUGGUAACAUGUCUUCCCAUAAUGCACUUGUUCACUGUUUUAUCUCCAAUGCUUAAAACAUUGCCUGGUACAAAGGAGAUGUUCAGUAAGUACGUCAAUGAAUUAAAUGAUUUAAUGAAUUGUAAAUGAACACGUAAAUGAAUUAAAUUACCUGUCUGUCUUACAGGGGUUACAAAUGUCUAGCAUCCAAAAAAGUUUAGCUUACUUUAAUGACAGAUUUGGAUUUAAAAGAACUAAGAAUCAUAGCUAACUCAGACCUAAGUCUAUACCUGUAUUUUACAGUACAUGAAGGAAAGAAAUAAAUUGUAGAUUCAAGUGCUAAAUAAGAAUAAUAAUUUAUAAUGGCCUGGGGUGGCAGCCAGUUAAAUUGGUAAGAGCUGACUGUAGAUACCCAGGCUUCUACCACAACCAUUAGAGGGAAAAUUAAGCAGGAGUAAAGUGGCUGCCUCAGCAGAAGCAGACAACACAGGACGGCCACAUUAGCAUAAAACAUGGCAGCCAGAAAUUAUGACUGCUCCUAAUCUCUGAAUGCUCAGGAGCUUGGUUACAUUCAAUAAAAUGACCUGUCCAUUUUGAUACAUUGGUUUUUCUCCCCAUUUCAAACACACACACACACACACACACACACACACACACACACACUCCAACAUCUUUUUGAAGCCAAAAUGUAGGGGUUAGGAUUGAAAAAAAAAAAGCCUCAUUUUUAACUGUUUCUAUAUCUGCAAUCCUCUCUAUUGCCUUCAACUCCAGCCUAGUACUUUUCCCCUCAAUAUUUGAUGGCCAGAAGUUUCUUGAGUUCAAGAGAAAGCAGACCAUCCUGGCACAUAUUUCUAUAGCUUGCUAAUGGUUAUUAACUGACAUUAAAAAUAAUCUCAGAAUUCUCUUAAACAUUGAGAGGCAUAAAUUCCUUUAAGGGUGAAGAAUACAUAUAUAGUGGUAGGAUUAUUUUGUCCAAAGAUCCUAAUCCCUUAGAACUGUAUCCAUGAACUGGAUGAAGUUCAAGUUUUCUAAAAUCUAGAAAGAGAACACAUUUUUUUUGCAGAAUAGAGGGACUGCCUUCUGAAGAAGUAUUAUGUAUUUCAUUGUGAUACAAUUUCCUCUACUUUCUGCAAUCCACUUAUCCUUACAAAGGAUUUAAAAGACACACACACACACCCCUUCAGUCCACACUUCUUUUCUGCCUUAAUAAGGAUGGAUGUUUAAGCUUUGGAAUCUUUGUCUUUGGAGCAACUGGCACUAAGAAUAAAGGAAGCUAAAACGGAAGACAUAGGUGAAAGCAAAUCCAAGAAUUUGGGAGCAAUGGCAGAUUUGGGAAGCAAUUUAGAGCUUAGCUGUAUCCCACUGCUCAGGACACUGGUUGGUCAUUUCACAUCUCUGCUAUGCCCCCUUCUCACCAUUCCCUCCAGCAGAGAGCAAGACACUCCAAGCCUGGGCUGCUUAUUUACAUCCCCUUCCCCGCUGCCUGACCUCAUUCCACCCUCGACUUCUCUAUCUCAGCUCUGAGCAACAAGAGGACAACAGAGCUAGACUCACAGGGCUCCUGAUAAUUGCAUAUUUGGGUUGAGUUGCCCUGAUGUUGCCUCAUCACAAUCUCAAUUUCACCCCUCCCCCUUUAUUUGAGAGGGGGGAGGAAAAAACAGAAAAAAAAAUCAAUCAGAAUGAUAUAUGACUCGUCAGUUCUGAAGUAAAGUCCAGUCAUGUAGAAAAUAAACCAGGCAUUGUACUCUGAAGCCUACAGAUAGGGUGAGCAAGCUCCAGCCUUGGGUGCAAUUAUCUCUUGAAAACAAAGCAAAAUAAAAAAUGCACUCAUGUAUAUAUUUAUCUAAUCUCUGCACCAUAUGCAUUCAGCUUUUCCAUGUUAGAGUUAACUGCUUUGCCUGUCGCUUAUGCAGUUUCUCAAAAUUGCCACAUUCAACUAGCACUUAUGUAACUGCACAGGAUGCAAGAAAUGCCUCCCCUAACUUGGCACAUUUCUCCAGCCCCAUGGCCACCACCACCUCCUACCCUCACAUCUGCAAGAGUAUGCUAAGGGCCUCCCUGCCCCUUUCCAUCUAUUCUUCAUUGUAUAAG